GGAGGUUGGCGAUGGACGGAUCACUCGCCAACCCGGUCAGGUCCGGAAGGAAGCAGCCGUAACGAACUCGAUUCGGGUCGUUGUCCAAUCUCCCAC
rnacentral:SRP_RNA from 1 species